rnacentral:rRNA from 1 species
UAGCGGAACUCCUACGGGAGGCAGCAGUGGGGAGUAUUGGACAAUGGGCGAAAGCCUGAUCCAGCAACGCCGCGUGAGGGAUGACGGCCUUCGGGUUGUAAACCUCUUUCAGCAGGGACGAAGCGAAAGUGACGGUACCUGCAGAAGAAGCACCGGCCAACUACGCGCCAGCAGCCGCGGUAAUACGUAGGGUGCGAGCGUUGUCCGGAAUUAUUGGGCGUAAAGGGCUCGUAGGCGGUUUGUCGCGUCGGGAGUGAAAACUCAGGGCUUAACCCUGAGCCUGCUUCCGAUACGGGCAGACUAGAGGUAUGCAGGGGAGAACGGAAUUCCUGGUGUAGCGGUGAAAUGCGCAGAUAUCAGGAGGAACACCGGUGGCGAAGGCGGUUCUCUGGGCAUUACCUGACGCUGAGGAGCGAAAGUGUGGGGAGCGAACAGGAUUAGAAACCCUUGUAGUCCACUUAUG